ACGCUAGCUACAGGCUUAACACAUGCAAGUCGAGGGGAAACGGCAUUGAGUGCUUGCACUCUUUGGACGUCGACCGGCGCACGGGUGAGUAACGCGUAUCCAACCUUCCCAUUAUUGUGGGAUAACCUGCCGAAAGGCAGACUAAUACCGCAUAGUCUUCGAUGACGGCAUCAGAUUUGAAGUGAAGAUUUAUCGGUAAUGGAUGGGGAUGCGUCUGAUUAGCUUGUUGGCGGGGUAACGGCCCACCAAGGCGACGAUCAGUAGGGGUUCUGAGAGGAAGGUCCCCCACAUUGGAACUGAGACACGGUCCAAACUCCUACGGGAGGCAGCAGUGAGGAAUAUUGGUCAAUGGACGGAAGUCUGAACCAGCCAAGUAGCGUGCAGGAUGACGGCCCUAUGGGUUGUAAACUGCUUUUGUAUGGGGAUAAAGUUAGGGACGUGUCCCUAUUUGCAGGUACCAUACGAAUAAGGACCGGCUAAUUCCGUGCCAGCAGCCGCGGUAAUACGGAAGGUCCAGGCGUUAUCCGGAUUUAUUGGGUUUAAAGGGAGCGUAGGCUGGAGAUUAAGUGUGUUGUGAAAUGUAGACGCUCAACGUCUGAAUUGCAGCGCAUACUGGUUUCCUUGAGUACGCACAACGUUGGCGGAAUUCGUCGUGUAGCGGUGAAAUGCUUAGAUAUGACGAAGAACUCCGAUUGCGAAGGCAGCUGACGGGAGCGCAACUGACGCUUAAGCUCGAGGGUGCGGGUAUCAAACAGGAUUAGAUACCCUGGUAGUCCGCACAGUAAACGAUGGAUGCCCGCUGUUGGUACCUGGUAUCAGCGGCUAAGCGAAAGCAUUAAGCAUCCCACCUGGGGAGUACGCCGGCAACGGUGAAACUCAAAGGAAUUGACGGGGGCCCGCACAAGCGG
rnacentral:rRNA from 1 species